rnacentral:rRNA from 1 species
ACAAUUCAGCUCGCGCAUUGGGUUUUCGCGGGUUAACUACUCGCGUGACCUUAAAGAUAGACGUACGUUAGCUAUACCAUUAGCUAAGUUACUAAUUUGGCAUUCUCAUUUUGGCUUGUCAACCAACCGGAAGACCGUCCGGUCGGACGUCGCGCUCU